rnacentral:rRNA from 1 species
AGGGAGUCUUCCACAAUGGACGGAAGUCUGAUGGAGCAACGCCGCGUGAGCGAAGAAGGUCUUCGGAUCGUAAAGCUCUGUUGUAAGGGAAGAAUAAGUACAGUAGUAACUGGCUGUACCUUGACGGUACCUUACGAGAAAGCCACGGCUAACUACGUGCCAGCAGCCGCGGUAAUACGUAGGUGGCAAGCGUUGUCCGGAAUUAUUGGGCGUAAAGCGCGCGCAGGCGGCCUUUUAAGUCUGAUGUGAAAGCCCCCGGCUUAACCGGGGAGGGUCAUUGGAAACUGGGAGGCUUGAGUGCAGAAGAGGAAAGUGGAAUUCCAAGUGUAGCGGUGAAAUGCGUAGAGAUUUGGAGGAACACCAGUGGCGAAGGCGACUUUCUGGUCUGUUACUGACGCUGAGGCGCGAAAGCGUGGGGAGCAAAC